AAGCAUAGGCAAGUAGGGGAAUAAAGCAUGUUAAAAUCCUAACUUAUCAACUCCCCUAAAACUUAAACCUUUUGCUUGUCCUCGAGCAAAAAAAUAAGACCCACCCCUUGAAGGGAAAUCCGGGUAAUUCUAGCUAUCCUAAAGUAACCUCAACAAGCAUCAAUUGGGACUAAUAACUGCCCAAGGCAUCAUUAACACAUUUAGACUUUGAAAA
rnacentral:lncRNA from 1 species